GCCUGGGUGGCUCAGUGGUUAGAGCCUCUGCCUUCGGCUCAGGUCAUGAUCUCAGGGUCCUGGGAUCGAGUCCCACAUCGGGCU
rnacentral:tRNA from 1 species